GGGCUAGCGGCAGGCUACACAUGCAGUCGAGCGGCAGCGGAAGUAGCUUGCUACUUUGCCGGCGAGCGGCGGACGGGUGAGUAAUGUCUGGGAAACUGCCUGAUGGAGGGGGAUAACUACUGGAAACGGUAGCUAAUACCGCAUAACGUCGCAAGACCAAAGAGGGGGACCUUCGGGCCUCUUGCCAUCAGAUGUGCCCAGAUGGGAUUAGCUAGUAGGUGGGGUAACGGCUCACCUAGGCGACGAUCCCUAGCUGGUCUGAGAGGAUGACCAGCCACACUGGAACUGAGACACGGUCCAGACUCCUACGGGAGGCAGCAGUGGGGAAUAUUGCACAAUGGGCGCAAGCCUGAUGCAGCCAUGCCGCGUGUAUGAAGAAGGCCUUCGGGUUGUAAAGUA
rnacentral:rRNA from 1 species